UACGUAGGUGGCAAGCGUUGUCCGGAUUUAUUGGGUUUAAAGGGUGCGUAGGCGGAACAGUAAGUCAGUGGUGAAAGCCUGUUGCUUAACAACAGAACUGCCAUCGAUACUGCUGAUCUUGAGUACAUAUGAUGUGGGCGGAAUGUGCCAUGUAGCGGUGAAAUGCUUAGAUAUGGCACAGAACACCGAUUGCGAAGGCAGCUCACAAAACUGUUACUGACGCUGAGGCACGAAAGCGUGGGGAUCAAACAGG
rnacentral:rRNA from 1 species